GGCUGGGUAGCUCAGUUGGCAGAGCAGAGGACUCAUAAGCCUCAGGUCGUGGGUUCAAUCCCCACCCCAGCCA
rnacentral:tRNA from 6 species